rnacentral:rRNA from 1 species
UACGUAGGGGGCGAGCGUUAUCCGGAUUUAUUGGGCGUAAAGCGUUCGUAGGCGGUUUGUUAAGUCUGAGAUUUAAGCCCGAGGCUCAACCUCGGUUCGUUUCAGAAACUGGCAGACUUGAGUGUGGUAGAGGCAAGUGGAAUUUCUAGUGUAGCGGUUAAAUGCGUAGAUAUUAGAAGGAACACCAGUGGCGAAGGCGGCUUGCUGGGCCAUUACUGACGCUGAGGAACGAAAGCGUGGGGAGCAAAUAG